CAAAUGGUUCUUCUAAGAUCCACACAUUUCUUGAUGUACACAUUUU
rfam:Fukomys damarensis contig128912, whole genome shotgun sequence.